UGGGGAAUAUUGGACAAUGGGGGAAACCCUGAUCCAGCAACGCCGCGUGGGUGAUGAAGGUCUUCGGAUUGUAAAGCCCUUUUGGCAGGGACGAUGAUGACGGUACCUGCAGAAUAAGCUCCGGCUAACUUCGUGCCAGCAGCCGCGGUAAUACGAAGGGAGCAAGCGUUGUUCGGAAUUACUGGGCGUAAAGAGCGCGUAGGCGGUUUGAUAAGUUGGGCGUGAAAUCCCCGGGCUUAACCCGGGAACU
rnacentral:rRNA from 1 species